GAAUGCUGACAUAAGUAACGAUAAAGCGGGUGAAAAGCCCGCUCGCCGGAAGACCAAGGGUUCCUGUCCAACGUUAAUCGGGGCAGGGUGAGUCGACCCCUAAGGCGAGGCCGAAAGGCGUAGUCGAUGGGAAACGGGUUAAUAUUCCCGUACUUGGUGUUACUGCGAAGGGGGGACGGAGAAGGCUAUGUUGGCCGGGCGACGGUUGUCCCGGUUUAAGCGUGUAGGUGUGUGUUCCAGGUAAAUCCGGUUCACUUUAACACUGAGGCGUGAUGACGAGGCACUACGGUGCUGAAGCAACAAAUGCCCUGCUUCCAGGAAAAGCCUCUAAGCAUCAGGUAACACGAAAUCGUACCCCAAACCGACACAGGUGGUCAGGUAGAGAAUACCAAGGCGCUUGAGAGAACUCGGGUGAAGGAACUAGGCAAAAUGGUGCCGUAACUUCGGGAGAAGGCACGCUGACACGUAGGUGAAGUGAUUUACUCAUGGAGCUGAAGUCAGUCGAAGAUACCAGCUGGCUGCAACUGUUUAUUAAAAACACAGCACUGUGCAAACACGAAAGUGGACGUAUACGGUGUGACGCCUGCCCGGUGCCGGAAGGUUAAUUGAUGGGGUCAGCGCAAGCGAAGCUCCUGAUCGAAGCCCCGGUAAACGGCGGCCGUAACUAUAACGGUCCUAAGGUAGCGAAAUUCCUUGUCGGGUAAGUUCCGACCUGCACGAAUGGCGUAAUGAUGGCCAGGCUGUCUCCACCCGAGACUCAGUGAAAUUGAACUCGCUGUGAAGAUGCAGUGUACCCGCGGCAAGACGGAAAGACCCCGUGAACCUUUACUAUAGCUUGACACUGAACAUUGAGCCUUGAUGUGUAGGAUAGGUGGGAGGCUUUGAAGUGUGGACGCCAGUCUGCAUGGAGCCGACCUUGAAAUACCACCCUUUAAUGUUUGAUGUUCUAACGUGGACCCGUAAUCCGGGUUGCGGACAGUGUCUGGUGGGUAGUUUGACUGGGGCGGUCUCCUCCUAAAGAGUAACGGAGGAGCACGAAGGUUGGCUAAUCCUGGUCGGACAUCAGGAGGUUAGUGCAAUGGCAUAAGCCAGCUUGACUGCGAGCGUGACGGCGCGAGCAGGUGCGAAAGCAGGUCAUAGUGAUCCGGUGGUUCUGAAUGGAAGGGCCAUCGCUCAACGGAUAAAAGGUACUCCGGGGAUAACAGGCUGAUACCGCCCAAGAGUUCAUAUCGACGGCGGUGUUUGGCACCUCGAUGUCGGCUCAUCACAUCCUGGGGCUGAAGUAGGUCCCAAGGGUAUGGCUGUUCGCCAUUUAAAGUGGUACGCGAGCUGGGUUUAGAACGUCGUGAGACAGUUCGGUCCCUAUCUGCCGUGGGCGCUGGAGAACUGAGGGGGGCUGCUCCUAGUACGAGAGGACCGGAGUGGACGCAUCACUGGUGUUCGGGUUGUCAUGCCAAUGGCACUGCCCGG
rnacentral:rRNA from 1 species